GGCAGAGUCAGCGGCGGCAGCAUGAGGCUGUUCGGGAAGCACGUGUUCCCGAGGCAGAUCGCCCUGGUCGCCUCAGGGGUGCUGUUCUUCGGGGCGACGACGUAUGACGUGCACCGGUCCAUCAAGAACAACGAGCAGCCGCCGACCAGGGAGCAAAUGGAGGCGCUGCAGGACUACAUCAACUCCAAGAAGCAGUAAGUAGGUUUCGAUUUGCGGCACCUCCUCAUAUGAUGGUGCGUGCUAGGUGUUUGCAAAUAAGAUUGGAGCAAAAGGGGACAUCGCCUUCUUCUCGGGGAGGCUGGAGGUCAAGUGGGGUGCGUGCUAUGUGUUCGACGUUAUUUCCAUGAGAACUUCAAUGGUAUAAGUGUAAAUCGAUGUUUUUUUUUUUGAAAAUGUGUAAAUCAAUGUGUAUGGCUAUGUAGUUGUAAAGCUCUGCUUGGGUUUAUAGACGUUUCAGUGUGUGUAAAUCAACGUGGUUGUGUAAUUGUAAAGGGUUUGUAGACGUUCCCCCU